GGUCUGGGGAGGGUAAUAUGUAGACGAGCCUUACCCCUACCCGAAAGGGCAGAGAGGCUGUUUCCAAUCGACCCCCGGCUCAGUGAAGGAAAGGGACAACAAAAACAACAACAAAAAAACAUUAGUAGCUUCAGCAGAAACAGCGUAAAUAAUUAUCUAAGCAUAAGAACCAUAAAUAAAAUAGCAUGCAACGAUAUCAAACAGUAACUACCAUAAAUAACUAACAUAGGGGAGACACAAUCCAAUACACGAAUCAUCUAAGGAUAGCCCUACCAAGCCUCACCCAACCCCGGGUGAGGGGUACGAAAAACACUAGGGGCCCCUAUCCUACAACCCUGAUACUAGACCUCCAGACUUUCCUAUCAAGGGCCAUGUCCUCAGAAACCCGCAUUCUAGCCAUNNNNNNNNNNNNNNNNNNNNNNAACUACCAUAAGGGAGACACAAUCAAAUACACACAUCAUCUAAGGAUAGCCCUGCCAAGCCUCACCCAACCCCGGGUGAGGAGUACGAAAAACACUAGAGGCCCCUAUCCUACAAUCCUGAUACUAGACCUCCAGACUUUCCUAUUAAGGGCCAUGUCCUCAGAAACCCGCAUUGUAGCCAUGCCAUGCCUAAUCACCUCUUCCCAAUACCUCUUAGGCCUCCCUCUGCCUCGUCGUGCGCCGACCAUCGCCAGCCGCUCACAACNNN
rnacentral:lncRNA from 1 species